UAGACUUGUGUUUUGUCACGACUCAAGCGUUAGGAAAGUUUUACUGAUUUUGAAUACAAGUUCAGUAUGCAGUCAGUAACGUUGCAACUGAGAUUAUUAGGGGGGAAAAUGAGGGACAAAAUUAUCCUCAUCCAGAGACAAAAGCUAAAACAGCAUGAAUAGUUUGUGCUACUUUUCAUAUUAUAAGAUACAGAUAAAACAAGUCAAAGAUAAUGCUUUUAUAAACUCAGUUAACCUUUAUUGUAAGUACAACAUCCAUUUUUAUAGAUACAAAAAGGCAUGUCAAUAGACUGCAAAAUGAUGUCUCUUCAGAUCAUCUUGGCUGCUAAAUGACACAAUGUUCUCUCUAAAGACUGUCAUAUAUUUUCCAAGAAUUUCAGCACUGCUUUAAAGCUUAAGCAAUCAAGAUGCUUGUUGCUCCAAUACAAAAGACUCACAUUUCAAAGUAUGUGAUUAUGUAAGGUUUUGUUUGAAAGAAAAACAAAAUUCAGUAAAAAAGCCGUUUUCUACCUUU